rnacentral:tRNA from 1 species
GCCUUGGUGGCUUAGUCGGUUAAGCACCUGACUUCAGCUCAGGUCAUUAUGUCAUUAUGUGAGUUCUAGUCCCACAUUGGGUG